AUUGGCAUUGGGUGAAUCCCCCACGCGACCAAGCUCGUGCGCUGCUAUAAAUACUCAUUCCCUCAUAUGGCAAAUAAAUCAUCCAUACAUUUGCUUUGCUAUAUUUACCAAAAAAAGAAGCUUGUAAAUCUCCCCAGCAUAUGUCUCAAAGGCCUACCGUUCCUCACUCUUGUUCAUUAGCAUUUGAUCUUCAUUCCCAUUUCCUGGUUUCUAGUGAUAUGAACCCUAAUUCCAUUUGGAGUCUUUAGUUAUAUUUCAGACCUUUUUUUUUUUUUCUUGAUCAAUUUUGUUCAUUCUUUGAAAGUUUUUAGAUUUUUGUUUUUGAGAGAAUUUUUAAAAAAAAUGGGAGGAGUCAAAAGUUUCAUUGAAGGAGGCAUUGCAUCAAUUGUCGCUGGUUGUUCAACCCACCCACUGGAUUUAAUCAAAGUUCGAAUGCAGCUUCAAGGUGAAGCCCAGGGCCCUAACGCGGCUGCUCAAAAUCUCCGCCCUUCUUUAGCUUUCCAGACCAACAGCACCCCCUCCUCUACUGUACGCCUCAGACAAGCCACGGCGGCGCGUAUUGGACCUCUGGCUACUGGGAUUCGGAUCUUUAAAACCGAAGGCUUCAGAGCUCUUUUCUCAGGUGUUUCCGCCACCGUACUCCGCCAGACCCUUUAUUCCACCACCCGGAUGGGAAUCUAUGACAUCCUGAAGCAUAAAUGGACCGAUAAGGAAACGAAUACCAUGCCUCUCGCCAGCAAAAUCCUCGCUGGGUUAAUAGCCGGGGGUAUCGGCGCUGCCGUCGGGAACCCAGCCGAUGUUGCAAUGGUUCGUAUGCAAGCUGACGGACGCCUCCCUUUAUCUCAACGCCGUAACUACACCAGCGUCGUUGACGCCCUCGCUCGCAUGACCAAACAAGAAGGCAUUACUUCCUUGUGGCGUGGCUCAUCGAUGACGGUGAACCGAGCCAUGCUGGUGACGGCGUCGCAGUUGGCUUCCUACGAUCAAAUCAAAGAAACGAUUUUGGCAAAAGGGUGGAUGAAAGAUGGGCUCUGUACACACGUGGUGGCGAGUUUCUCGGCUGGAUUUGUGGCGGCGGUGGUAUCGAAUCCCGUUGACGUAAUCAAGACAAGGGUAAUGAACAUGAAGGUGGUGCCUGGUCAAAGGCCACCGUAUACCGGAGCUUUGGAUUGUGCUAUGAAAACAGUGAAGGCGGAAGGGCCGAUGGCUUUGUAUAAAGGGUUUAUACCUACCAUCUCCAGACAAGGGCCGUUCACGGUGGUGCUUUUCGUUACGUUGGAACAGGUGGCCCGUAUUGUUUAGUGGAAUUUGGCGUAUGCGAACCAACCAUUUCGAUGCAUAGUGUGGGCGUGCAGUUUAUGUUAUCCCCUAUAAGAUGAGAUGGAACAACACAUACCAACAAAGUUUGAGAAAGGAAGUGGUGAGCUAAAGGUCAUCUUGUUAGCAGCACAAUGAGGCAAAAUGGUUCCUAAUUCAGAAGGCCCUACAAGCUGGUUAAAAAGAUUGGCUUUGGUGCAUAUUGGCUUGCCUAGAUGGACAACUGAUACAUAGAAUGUGGAAUGCUCGACACUUAUGAAAAUAUUUUGUAUGAAUUCUAACCCUCAAGUACUAGAAACUUUUAUGUGUUUAAGUAAAUGAUAUGAUAUCAUAAUUAUCGGUCAAAGACUUUCACCUUUGAUAUAUGUUCUACCUAGCCUUCAAGUUACCUCACCUUUCAGGCAAUAUAGAUUUCCAAGUAGUAUAACCUUGUUACCUCACCUUCCAAGCAUCAUAACAUUCUCGCCUUAUAAGUAAUGUAGACAACAUAAGUCAAACUGCGUAUGAAUUUUGAAUUAUGAUGCCAAAUUGGUAUUGUCAACACAAUAAUUGUGAAAAUGGUACUUUACAACACAUC